GUUGUGGAUUGGAAAAGGGUGUUGGCUUAUGAUUGGUUGAUGAGAUAUUGAAAUAUUUAUCUCAUCCUAAUAAUUUAAAUAUAUAUUUUUGUAUUUUUUAUACCAAAAUUCAUUUUUUUUUCUCCUAUAAAUAGAAAAUUGAUUUAUUUGAUUCGGACAGCAAAACAAAUCCGUUUUUUUAGUAUCAUUUUCUAUUAGCCUUUGCUAAGCUCUUGUUUAGAGCUUUAAACAUCUUUUUGUUGAAAUGGAUCCAACAAUGAUCCUUUUAACACCCAAAAAUCCAAACCCUUAUUAAUUCCAAAAGCAGUCUUCCAUCCCACCCCAAAAUAUGCCAAAUUAUGGUUUUGCACCAAAUUUUUUCAUGUCGUCACAUGUUCCAAACUAUCGACCAUAUUAUUUAUCGAUGAGUUCCCCGAGUUUUCUAUACAACUGGCUCUUGGCGCUUGGCGGUGUGGGCGGUGUGGGCGGUGUUAAUGAAGCCACUCUAAUGUAAAGGAUUCAACUCAUGCUCGUCGGAGAAGCCCCAAAUGGACCACUACUCAAAAUUUAGUGCUACUUGGCGGACAGAUAAAAUAUGGAACAAACAGCGUUGUAAUGAGCAUUUUCCAUUCGAUCCAUAAAAAAUGAAGCAUAUAGGGAAAUUUCUGAGUAUUGUAAUGAGCAUUGCUCAUUCGAUCUUCCGCGUGAUGGAGUUUGGUGAAGAAAUAAUUACAACUACAUCAACAAAAUGUUGAGAAAAUAGACUGGCGCUUAUGACAACGCUAAGCGUAUGCAACAAAGCAGGUGGUCGGAGAAUGAUGUUUUGACGAAAGCAAAUGAACUAUAUACAAGAAGUGGGAAUGGACAUUUUAAUUUAAUGUUAGAAUGGCUCACAGUUCGUGAUUAACCACGUCAUGGUUGUCAUGUAGGAGGAAAAGUUAGAUUUAAGAGAUCCCACAAGAGUAAUGCAAGUAACUCCAACUCGGUGGGAUCUAUUGCUCGCCUAAUGGGGAGAGAUGCAGCUAAAAAAGGUAAAAAUAAAGGUAAAAAGAAAGGAAAGGGUACAACCUUGGAAGUGGUCAAUGAAGAGUAGAAUGAAUAUAAAACAUUCAAAGCGCGAGAGUUGGAACGAUUGGAAAGAAUAGCCACGCAGAAUGAAGUGGCAAACCAAUAAAAAAGAGGACUCUAGAUAAGAAGAUAUAUGAAGAUGUUUACUGCAAAAGUGUAUCUCGAUGACCAGAGUAAACAAUUGUUGGAGGAGUUGAACCAUGAUCUAUUUUUAAAUUAAUAUUUCUCAAGUUGUUGUAUUUUUUAUCGUUUAUGCUUUAAUAAUGUUAGUCAUGUGUUUGUAUAUAUGCAUUUUGUCGUUUUAUGCUUUAAUAAUGUUGAUCAUGUGUCUGUAUGCA